AGAGGCGGGGCCUGCCCUCUCACGCGUAGGGGGUGAGGAAGACGAUAAGUAAGAGCCGAGUGGCCAAAAUCAGCUCUGGGAAGAUUGCAAUCAAGAGCGGAGAUCUUCAGCCACUUCAAAAAGAGCAGAUAUCUGGUGUCUUGCCCGUAUCCUGUAAGUUGAAGGCCAACAGCCAGUCUCUGGAUCUGUUUACCGGUGAGCUCUCUCCAAAGCUCCAGAACACACCUGUGUUCACCUGCGUGGUGGUACGGACAUGCCAGGAAUCAACCUGCUGUGACAGCCCUCACCAGUUGGCCUUGGUGGAUAAAUAACCCAACUCCCUCACCCUUCAGGUGGGAUAACUCCAAGGUGGGGUCUCCUGCAGUUGCCCACAGCUCCAGCCUGCCUGAAAACACACCCUUUGUUGGCUGCCUUCCCUUUCCUGCCUCACUUCCUCUCUCCCCUGCCAGUGUUU